rnacentral:rRNA from 1 species
AAACUCGUAUUAAUACCGCAUACGACCUACGGGAGAAAGGGGGCAGUUUACUGCUCUCGCUAUUAGAUGAGCCUAAGUCGGAUUAGCUAGAUGGUGGGGUAAAGGCCUACCAUGGCGACGAUCUGUAGCUGGUCUGAGAGGAUGAUCAGCCACACCGGGACUGAGACACGGCCCGGACUCCUACGGGAGGCAGCAGUGGGGAAUAUUGGACAAUGGGGGAAACCCUGAUCCAGCCAUGCCGCGUGUGUGAAGAAGGCCUUUUGGUUGUAAAGCACUUUAAGCAGUGAAGAAGACUCCGUGGUUAAUACCCACGGACGAUGACAUUAGCUGCAGAAUAAGCACCGGCUAACUCUGUGCCAGCAGCCGCGGUAAUACAGAGGGUGCAAGCGUUAAUCGGAAUUACUGGGCGUAAAGGGAGCGUAGGUGGCUCUAUAAGUCAGAUGUGAAAUCCCCGGGCUCAACCUGGGAACUGCAUCUGAAACUGUAGAGCUAGAGUAUGUGAGAGGAAGGUAGAAUUCCAGGUGUAGCGGUGAAAAUGCGUAGAGAUCUGGAGGAAUACCGAUGGCGAAGGCAGCCUUUCUGGCAUAAUACUGACACUGAGGCUCGAAAAGCGUGGGUAGCAAACAGGAUUAGAUACCCUGGUAGUCCACGCCGUAAACGAUGUCUACUAGGUCGUUGGGGUC